GAAGUAGGAUGCAAGCGUUGUCCGGAUUUAUUGGGCGUAAAGAGUUCGUAGGCGGUUCGUUAAGUCUGAUGUUAAAUAUCGGGGCUCAACCUCGGGAGUGCAUUGGAUACUGGCGGACUGGAGUGUGGUAGAGGUUAGUGGAAUUCCCAGUGUAGCGGUGAAAUGCGUAGAUAUUGGGAAGAACACCAGUGGCGUAGGCGACUAACUGGGCCAUAACUGACGCUGAGGAACGAAAGCCAGGGGAGCGAAUGGG
rnacentral:rRNA from 1 species